rnacentral:rRNA from 1 species
GGAAUAUUGGACAAUGGGCGCAAGCCUGAUCCAGCAAUGCCGCGUGUGUGAAGAAGGCCUUCGGGUUGUAAACCUCUUUCAGCAGGGAAGAAGCGAAAGUGACGGUACCUGCAGCAGAAGCGCCGGCUAACUAAGUGCCAGCAGCCGCGGUAAUACGUAGGGCGCAAGCGUUAUCCGGAAUUAUUGGGCGUAAAGAGCUCGUAGGCGGUUUGUCGCGUCUGCCGUGAAAGUCCGGGGCUCAACUCCGGAUCUGCGGUGGGUACGGGCAGACUAGAGUGAUGUAGGGGAGACUGGAAUUCCUGGUGUAGCGGUGAAAUGCGCAGAUAUCAGGAGGAACACCGAUGGCGAAGGCAGGUCUCUGGGCAUUAACUGACGCUGAGGAGCGAAAGCAUGGGGAGCGAA